GGGUUGUGAGGUUAAGCGACUAAGCGUACACGGUGGAUGCCCUGGCAGUCAGAGGCGAUGAAGGACGUGCUAAUCUGCGAUAAGCGUCGGUGAGGUGAUAUGAACCGUUAUAACCGGCGAUUUCCGAAUGGGGAAACCCAGUGUGUUUCGACACACUAUCAUUAACUGAAUCCAUAGGUUAAUGAGGCGAACCGGGGGAACUGAAACAUCUAAGUACCCCGAGGAAAAGAAAUCAACCGAGAUUCCCCCAGUAGCGGCGAGCGAACGGGGAGGAGCCCAGAGCCUGAAUCAGUGUGUGUGUUAGUGGAAGCGUCUGGAAAGGCGUGCGAUACAGGGUGACAGCCCCGUACACAAAAAUGCACAUAUUGUGAGCUCGAUGAGUAGGGCGGGACACGUGGUAUCCUGUCUGAAUAUGGGGGGACCAUCCUCCAAGGCUAAAUACUCCUGACUGACCGAUAGUGAACCAGUACCGUGAGGGAAAGGCGAAAAGAACCCCGGCGAGGGGAGUGAAAAAGAACCUGAAACCGUGUACGUACAAGCAGUGGGAGCCUCUUAAUGGGGUGACUGCGUACCUUUUGUAUAAUGGGUCAGCGACUUAUAUUCUGUAGCAAGGUUAACCGAAUAGGGGAGCCGAAGGGAAACCGAGUCUUAACUGGGCGUUAAGUUGCAGGGUAUAGACCCGAAACCCGGUGAUCUAGCCAUGGGCAGGUUGAAGGUUGGGUAACACUAACUGGAGGACCGAACCGACUAAUGUUGAAAAAUUAGCGGAUGACUUGUGGCUGGGGGUGAAAGGCCAAUCAAACCGGGAGAUAGCUGGUUCUCCCCGAAAGCUAUUUAGGUAGCGCCUCGUGAAUUCAUCUCCGGGGGUAGAGCACUGUUUCGGCAAGGGGGUCAUCCCGACUUACCAACCCGAUGCAAACUGCGAAUACCGGAGAAUGUUAUCACGGGAGACACACGGCGGGUGCUAACGUCCGUCGUGAAGAGGGAAACAACCCAGACCGCCAGCUAAGGUCCCAAAGUCAUGGUUAAGUGGGAAACGAUGUGGGAAGGCCCAGACAGCCAGGAUGUUGGCUUAGAAGCAGCCAUCAUUUAAAGAAAGCGUAAUAGCUCACUGGUCGAGUCGGCCUGCGCGGAAGAUGUAACGGGGCUAAACCAUGCACCGAAGCUGCGGCAGCGACACUAUGUGUUGUUGGGUAGGGGAGCGUUCUGUAAGCCUGUGAAGGUGGCCUGUGAGGGUUGCUGGAGGUAUCAGAAGUGCGAAUGCUGACAUAAGUAACGAUAAAGCGGGUGAAAAGCCCGCUCGCCGGAAGACCAAGGGUUCCUGUCCAACGUUAAUCGGGGCAGGGUGAGUCGACCCCUAAGGCGAGGCCGAAAGGCGUAGUCGAUGGGAAACAGGUUAAUAUUCCUGUACUUGGUGUUACUGCGAAGGGGGGACGGAGAAGGCUAUGUUGGCCGGGCGACGGUUGUCCCGGUUUAAGCGUGUAGGCUGGUUUUCCAGGCAAAUCCGGAAAACCAAGGCUGAGGCGUGAUGACGAGGCACUACGGUGCUGAAGCGACAAAUGCCCUGCUUCCAGGAAAAGCCUCUAAGCAUCAGGUAACAUCAAAUCGUACCCCAAACCGACACAGGUGGUCAGGUAGAGAAUACCAAGGCGCUUGAGAGAACUCGGGUGAAGGAACUAGGCAAAAUGGUGCCGUAACUUCGGGAGAAGGCACGCUGAUAUGUAGGUGAAGCGACUUGCUCGUGGAGCUGAAAUCAGUCGAAGAUACCAGCUGGCUGCAACUGUUUAUUAAAAACACAGCACUGUGCAAACACGAAAGUGGACGUAUACGGUGUGACGCCUGCCCGGUGCCGGAAGGUUAAUUGAUGGGGUUAGCGGCAACGCGAAGCUCUUGAUCGAAGCCCCGGUAAACGGCGGCCGUAACUAUAACGGUCCUAAGGUAGCGAAAUUCCUUGUCGGGUAAGUUCCGACCUGCACGAAUGGCGUAAUGAUGGCCAGGCUGUCUCCACCCGAGACUCAGUGAAAUUGAACUCGCUGUGAAGAUGCAGUGUACCCGCGGCAAGACGGAAAGACCCCGUGAACCUUUACUAUAGCUUGACACUGAACAUUGAGCCUUGAUGUGUAGGAUAGGUGGGAGGCUUUGAAGUGUGGACGCCAGUCUGCAUGGAGCCGACCUUGAAAUACCACCCUUUAAUGUUUGAUGUUCUAACGUUGGCCCGUAAUCCGGGUUGCGGACAGUGUCUGGUGGGUAGUUUGACUGGGGCGGUCUCCUCCUAAAGAGUAACGGAGGAGCACGAAGGUUGGCUAAUCCUGGUCGGACAUCAGGAGGUUAGUGCAAUGGCAUAAGCCAGCUUGACUGCGAGCGUGACGGCGCGAGCAGGUGCGAAAGCAGGUCAUAGUGAUCCGGUGGUUCUGAAUGGAAGGGCCAUCGCUCAACGGAUAAAAGGUACUCCGGGGAUAACAGGCUGAUACCGCCCAAGAGUUCAUAUCGACGGCGGUGUUUGGCACCUCGAUGUCGGCUCAUCACAUCCUGGGGCUGAAGUAGGUCCCAAGGGUAUGGCUGUUCGCCAUUUAAAGUGGUACGCGAGCUGGGUUUAGAACGUCGUGAGACAGUUCGGUCCCUAUCUGCCGU
rnacentral:rRNA from 1 species